rnacentral:rRNA from 1 species
GUUUGAUCCUGGCUCAGGAUGAACGCUGGCGGCGUGCUUAACACAUGCAAGUCGAACGAACCUUCGGGUUAGUGGCGGACGGGUGGGUAACGCGUGGGAAUCUGCCCUCAGGAGGGGGAUAACGGCUGGAAACGGCCGCUAAUACCCCAUAUGCCGAGAGGUGAAAUGAAUUUCGCCUGAGGAUGAGCCCGCGUCUGAUUAGCUAGUUGGUGUGGUAAUGGCUCACCAAGGCUUCGAUCAGUAGCUGGUCUGAGAGGAUGAUCAGCCACACUGGGACUGAGACACGGCCCAGACUCCUACGGGAGGCAGCAGUGGGGAAUUUUCCGCAAUGGGCGAAAGCCUGACGGAGCAACGCCGCGUGAGGGAUAAGGCCUCUGGGCUGUAAACCUCUUUUUUCAAGGAAGAAGACCUGACGGUACUUGAAGAAUAAGCCACGGCUAAUUCCGUGCCAGCAGCCGCGGUAAUACGGGAGUGGCAAGCGUUAUCCGGAAUUAUUGGGCGUAAAGCGUCCGCAGGCGGCCCUGAAAGUCUGUCGUUAAAGCGUGGAGCUCAACUCCAUUUAAGCGAUGGAAACUACAGGGCUAGAGUGUGGUAGGGGCAGAGGGAAUUCCCGGUGUAGCGGUGAAAUGCGUAGAUAUCGGGAAGAACACCAGUGGCGAAGGCGCUCUGCUGGGCCAUAACUGACGCUCAUGGACGAAAGCCAGGGGAGCGAAAGGGAUUAGAUACCCCUGUAGUCCUGGCCGUAAACGAUGAACACUAGGUGUCGGGGGAAUCGACCCCCUCGGUGUCGUAGCCAACGCGUUAAGUGUUCCGCCUGGGGAGUACGCACGCAAGUGUGAAACUCAAAGGAAUUGACGGGGGCCCGCACAAGCGGUGGAGUAUGUGGUUUAAUUCGAUGCAACGCGAAGAACCUUACCAGGGUUUGACAUUCUGCGAAUCCCUUGGAAACGAGGGAGUACCUUCGGGAGCGCAGAGACAGGUGGUGCAUGGCUGUCGUCAGCUCGUGUCGUGAGAUGUUGGGUUAAGUCCCGCAACGAGCGCAACCCACGUCGUUAGUUGCCAGCAUUCAGUUGGGCACUCUAGCGAGACCGCCGGUGAUAAACCGGAGGAAGGUGUGGAUGACGUCAAGUCAUCAUGCCCCUUACAUCCUGGGCUACACACGUACUACAAUGCUACGGACAAAGGGCAGCAAGCUCGCGAGAGUUAGCAAAUCCCAUAAACCGUGGCUCAGUUCAGAUCGUAGGCUGCAACUCGCCUACGUGAAGGAGGAAUCGCUAGUAAUCGCAGGUCAGCAUACUGCGGUGAAUACGUUCCCGGGCCUUGUACACACCGCUCGUCACACCAUGGAAGUUGGCCACGCCCGAAGUCGUUACUCCAACCCUUGUGGAGGAGGACGCCGAAGGUGGGGCUGAUGACUGGGGUGAAGUCGUAACAAGGUA